CUCAGGCAGCGGCGACAUAGGCUUCAGGGCGCCUGGGGGCUUUUUCUGUAACCUCAGCUUUAACUUUUAACUUCGGGAUUCAGAGGAAUUUGUAAGCGCUGCAGCUGCGAAUCAACCCCGCCUAAGACUGUACACAUGGGUCACCAUGGGCCGAUUGGCGGUGCCAUUAGAAACAGUAAACAAUAGAAGUGGGCUCCAGUGUGUACUUUAGGGAUGGAAGAACAUCAUUUGGAAGAACCAGUGAUGAUAGCAAGGCAGAGAAUGAUAGGCUUUGUUGUCUAUUACCAAAGACAGCUUUGUAGUAUCACCGCUACAUCUUGAAUGAAAUGUACCAGAAUUAAUCUCCAGAAAAUGGUGGGACAACUAAAAUGCAGAUAAAACAUACCUGAAAACAACCUCACCAAGUAUGUAUACUCUAUAUGUUUGUUCUCCCACCAAUCUACUUGCCCUAAAUGCAUCUGUCCAUUGCAAUACUGGCAAAAAUGACCACCACACAGUCCUCUUAGUGAUGAACUUCCAUUAUUGCACAUUGUUUUCUGUGUCUCUGGCACCAUGUAAAAUGAAACAGACUCAACUGAAGUGAAUGGAACUAAAUACUCUGUUAAGUAGUACAACUACUGUA